rnacentral:lncRNA from 1 species
UGGCUAUUUUUUAAAUUAAGGUUAUUGAAAAAACAUUGUUCAAUCGUUUAAUGUAGAUAUUUAAGUUUUUUUCGUAAGUUAUUGCAUUAAAGGCAAGGCACUUUCAAAGUUUUGGGAGCGGACGAUCGAUCUAACUUUGUAUUAUGCGCGGAUUGAGGUCUCCUCUAUAGGGGUGCUGGGCCACAACCUCUAUGGUGCAUAAAGGCCGCACAAGGAAGGUGGUGCAUUAGGGAAUAUGUACAAGUUAAGCUAGUUGCGUUAGGGAACCACCUUUUUUCUAACAAUUUGUCGAGUUGUUGUGCUUAAGCAAUCGACUCGUUGGAUAAAAUCAAAUUGUCAGUUACGAAAAAGAUUGAUUGAAAACAGCGCCCAAAAACAGUUGACAAUCACUGUUUUGACGUCAUACAUGAAGGUUAGUCUAAGCAGUCUUCUCUCACUUUCAUUUACGACCAAAACAGCACACGUGCAGCUGCUCACUGCUCAGUGUUGGUUCAAUUUGGUCCAGUGUACAGUACAUAAACAUAUCGUUUCGUUCAUCGCCACUUGAAUUAUAGUGUCAACCAAGUUUACCUCGCUAUGAAGGAUAAAAAGAUUAGCAAGCUUGUUGCUGAUUCAGCAGCGUUCAUCAGAAAUGCGCAAAUGCAGGAUGUUGCUGAUGUCGUUUACACGGUUAGGGAUGUCGUUGACGAAAUUAGAGAUCAAGCUACAAAGCAGAGACUCAGAGUUUUACCUUAUGAAAUAAAAAUGAUGGAACCAUCACCGGUGGUGAUGGACAAUGAAUGAAUGUGAACAAUCGUAAUAUUAUCAAUAUUAGACAGACGGUGUUCGGUUAAUGUAUUCUGAUGAGUAUGGCGCAAAAGCUUGACUGGGUGAAUUCACUAUGCAUUGGCACGUAAAAGUAAUUGUUAAACAAUAAUAGUUGCUAAGAUGUGCGAGUCCCGAUAGAUGUUCAACCACUCUAGCGGGAGAAACCGUAAGUCACACCAGGUAACCGAGAUUAGACGUCCGUGAAAGUGCACCUGGUGGUGAAUGUUGUAAACUCGAUCCAAUCGUUAUCGACGUCGCCACCCACCAAAUCCACCUAUAAGGGAGACACUGGAGACGAAGAUGCGGAACAUUAUUGGAAUUUGAUGACGUCAAUUCCUCUAUUAGGUAGAAGUGGGUGUCUCUCGCCGCUUCUACCUGAAGAGUCCCAAAGUGGACGAAGAAAGUGGUCGAAAUUGGUCACUGCAGAGAGACGGGAAUUCAAGGUCUAUCAAAAAUAUGACGAGUUCUGCAUGUCCUUUAUGUUCGACGAUCAGUUUCUUCUCACAAGGCCAGAUUUUUCACCCUCGUCUGUUUUGGCCUUUUGGUAAGCCUGCACAUAAGUUAGCUCAUCUGUGUUAUUCCAAAGAGCGUGAAGAAUUUGAGAACGGGUGAUGAGUAAAUAGCUACAUAGAUCCCGUGUACCUGUUUUGAGAAUCUUGUGUGGUUUAUGAGAUAUUUGGUAGCUGACACCAUAGGUCGAAGAUGCUUGGGAAAGAUUCUUUUGGUCGUAUGUGAGUAAGAUUUUCCACCCUUUUUUCAAUACUUUUUUCAAACUUCUUCCUUGUUGAAACGCGCAGUAAAAUGGGGAGGAGAAAUAUGUCACAACAUGUUAAUUGCCUAAUUGCAUCUUCUCUUGGUUUUUCGGCUUUCCCUUUUCGUCUCGGACCUCAAUACAGCCGUCAGUGUUCUUUCCAGUUCUGAUGGAACUCAGUCAAUACGGAUGAAUUUCCACGUUCUCUUAGGUGUAGGAUUUUGUUUCGACGUAGUGAACGCAAAGACAACACUGCACGUGACGCUAUGUAACUUUUUUAUAUUGAGGCUAAAUUACGAAUUGUGGAAUUACUGAUUAAUAAAGACUUAAACUGUCGUAUAAACAGAAAAGACACGUGUAUUCAGCAAGACACGUGAAAGACGGUCGGAAAAGGAAGAGAACGAAAGUCACGUCCAUUAAUCUUACCUUUCCUUCUCGUCACCUUUGACCAAAAAAUUUAGAAAAUAUUUAGUUGCCUUCCGCGUUUAUCUCAGUUGAUAUAUGUGUCUGCAAGCUGAUCUGUUGGUGAUAAAUGUGCACCCAGACCUACACGGAAUCUCAUCGUGAAAGGACACUCUCCUCAGAGAAAACUCAGUAAUUUUUCAUUGUGGUUUACUCGUCAAUCAGUAAUGCAGAAUUUUAUUAACGGAGGCCCAUCGAGAAGAUGGCGAGUUCUCCAUAUCCUAUUUUUUUGAUGAUCUGUUUCUUCUCACAAGAUAAGUAUUUUAAUUCUACCGUUACUUGAUUAGUGGCUUAUAUUCGAUGUGCGAAUCAGCUAGUUGAAUAUUUCUUUUAAAUCUUUUUGAGACUGAAAUUGCAUCGUCUGUUGAAUAACCUUGUUGACCAGUUAAAAUGGCUUAGCUUGUCUGACGAAAUACGUCAUCACCGUAAAUUCGCUUGGUUUUCGCUGAUUCGCAUCCUCUUCGCUUUUGUUUUCAUAGUUGCAUCUGCGUUGAUACCUUUGGUGGUAGGCCUAUUGUUAUAGUCUUUCAUCCCAACUGCGUCUGUUUGGCGUUUAGUUCUUUACGAACCUUUGCGACUUCUGAAUUGACACCGUUGUUGUAUUUCUUCUCAGAUUCAAGACUAUCAUCGUGGGCCUUUUCAAGUUUAGCGUUCGCAAAAUGACACAAUCAAAAUCUGACGUAGUGUUUAUUUAGUUCCUCAGACAUCUAAGAGCGUGUUUAAGAUCUAGCAUCGUAAAUUGAUUUCUAAACUGCAUGUUCUAGUUUUUUUCGGUUGUCCCUUUUCUUCUCGGACCUCAAUACCAUCGUCAGUGUUCUUUACAGUUCCGGUUGAACUCACUCAAUCAGGUUGAAUUUUCUCUUAGGUGUAGAGUUUUGUUUCAUUAUAGUGUUGCAAGAACAAACGCUACACGUGACGCUACCUAACUUUUUUAUAUUGAGGCCAAAUUACAAAUUGUAGAAUUACUGAAUAAGAAAGACUCAAACUGUCGAAUAAACAACAAGAAAACCAGGAAACGCAGUGUUGGCAUCAGUUAAGAACCUGAGUAGCACUUGAUUGCUUGUCGAGGUAAUUUCAAAUGGUGUAAUAGAUCCUGAUUUUUCCAACAGCAGCUUCGAGUACACAGUCGGUCCAUCGUAUACCUAAAUAUAAAAGAAACGCUGAAUGUGUUGAUGUCCUAAACGAUUGUCUAAAUCUAACUGACGUAGAGAAAAUCUGCUUGGUCCUGUGUUUCAAAGAAAGCAAAAAGCAAUCGGAUUUUUAAACCAGAUUUCACAUCGAUGUUCCAGCGGCAAUCACUCAGAUGCGAAUAAACUAAUGGAUAGUUGGGACUUUUGAUUAUUCCAUUAGAUCCAUCAAAGGUAUGGUUGCAUUGCGGUGUAGAAAUCUGUAUGAGUCAAGACGUUUCCAGCUUAAUUUUUAUACCAUUUAAUACAGGAUCAAUAAAAGUCAUACUCUGGAGACUGUCCAGGAGAAUGCAGGUUGUUCUCUAAUUUCAGGUGACGUCAAAUGAACCAUCAUUUUGUUGCUGAUCGAAUAGGCGACUGCCCUCCGUUGAUCUUUGGCUUCCCCAUCGUAAAGCACAAGACCUUCAGUACUCCAUCCGUCAUGAAUCUGUUGAUUAAAAAUGGUGAUAAUAAAGAACGUUUAAAAUUUAAAAGGAUAAAAAAAGAACGCGUGAAUAAAAAGG